rnacentral:rRNA from 1 species
CUGCUGCCUCCCGUAGGAGUUUGGGCCGUGUCUCAGUCCCAAUGUGGCCGUCCACCCUCUCAGGCCGGCUACUGAUCGUCGCCUUGGUGGGCCUUUACCCCGCCAACCAGCUAAUCAGACGCGGGUCCAUCCCAUACCACCUUGGUUUUCAAACAAAAAGCAUGCGCUUUCUGUUGUUAUGCGGUAUUAGCACCUAUUUCUAACGUGUUAUCCCCCUGUAUGGGCCAGGUUACCCACGCGUUACUCCACCCGUCCGCCACUAAGCCUUUCCUUUCCG